UAAUUUCGUGAAGAGGUGUGACGUGUUAAAGGACGUAAGCGACUCGGGACAAAUUACAAAUGGUGUCAUUCCACUGGAAACCCUGUUUGUUGUUGACCACCAAAUAACACCGAGGCAGCAAUUAUGAUUCACAGUUUAUUUGUUAUAAAUAAUUCUGGAGAUGUGUUUAUGGAAAAACACUGGAAGAGUGUAAUCCACAAAUCGAUAUGUGACUACUUCUUUGAGGUUCAAGGAAGGGCUGUUUCCUUGGAUGACGUUCCACCUGUCAUUGCUACACCCCAUCAUUAUCUUAUCAACAUCUAUCGCAGUCAACUAUAUUUCGUUGCAGUUGUAACAACCGAAGUGUCUCCACUUUUUGUAAUUGAAUUUCUGCACAGAGUCUUUGAUACAUUUGAAGAUUAUUUUGCCGAGUGUACAGAAUCAACAAUCAAAGAACAUUAUGUUAUAGUAUAUGAGCUUCUUGAUGAAAUGCUGGACAAUGGCUUUCCAUUGGCAGUAGAAUCCAAUGUUCUCAAGGAGCUGAUUAAACCCCCCAACUUCCUGAGGACGAUCACCGACACUGUCACUGGUAAAUCUACUGGAGUCAGUGGAAUACUGCCAACAGGACAGCUUUCUAACAUUCCCUGGAGAAGGACAGGUGUCAAAUAUACCAAUAACGAAGCGUAUUUUGAUGUCAUUGAAGAAAUUGAUGCCAUCCUCGACAAAUCGGGUGCAACAGUCUUUGCAGAGAUCCAAGGAUAUAUUGAUUGCUUGAUCAAGCUCAGCGGCAUGCCUGACCUAACAUUGUCUUUCAUGAAUCCACGCUUGUUAGAUGAUGUUAGCUUCCAUCCGUGCGUGCGUUUUAAGAGAUGGGAAAGUGAGCGAGUUCUUUCUUUUGUUCCUCCUGAUGGUAACUUUCGACUCAUCUCCUAUCAUAUAGGAGCCCAGAAAUUAAAUAGUAGAUUAUGUAUGGUAGCCAUUCCUAUCUAUGUACGACACACAAUAUCAUUUCGCGAAGGUGCUGCUGGACGCUUUGAUGUUACUAUUGGACCAAAACAAGCCAUGGGGAAAACAAUUGAAAAUGUUGUGGUUGAAGUGUUAUUUCCAAAAUCAAUCCUAAAUGUGACCCUCACCCCAAACCAGGGAAAAUAUUCAUUUGACCCUGUUACCAAGAUGAUGACCUGGGAUGUUGGCAAAAUUGACCCGACCAAACUUCCAAAUAUCAAAGGAACAAUAAAUCUACAAACUGGUUCUCCUGUACCGGAAUCUAAUCCAACAAUAUCAGUACAGUUUUCCAUUAGUCAAUGGGCCAUCUCAGGUGUAAAAGUUAACAGACUUGAUAUGUAUGGAGAGCCACAAUUUAUGAAAUUGCUGAAGGUACCAAUCUACAGAUACCAAAACUGAAGGUACAACACUGAAAGUGUCGUGGUGGAGGGUAUUCAUGGUGGAGGGUAUUUAUGGUGGACUCUAUUCCUGGUGGAGGGUAGAUCAGUAAUGACUUUGGUGCAAAAAUACAAACCAUUUAAAGGGGUCAAGUACGUAACGAAAGCUGGUAAAUUCCAAGUGAGGACAUGAUGCUUGCAUUUAAAUUUACCAACACAUUUCCUUGGAUGCUGAAAAGAAGCUGGAGUUGGCAGUGUCAGACUAACUACGCAGUUCCAAGCAUGACAACUUCAAAUCUUUGCAAGGAGAAGAACAAAGUGUUCCAUUCCUCCUCCAAACUCAUAAUUUAUCCGACCGAUGUACAAAUGUGUCUUCUGCUUCUGUGAGUUCACAGAAGCACAGCAGAUUAAAGAAUUUAUCAACACAGA
rnacentral:misc_RNA from 1 species